rnacentral:rRNA from 1 species
AUGGCGACCGGCGCACGGUGAGUAACGCGUAUGCAACUUACCUAUCAGGAGGGGAGUAGCCGGCGAAGUCGGAUUAAUACCCCAUAAACAGGGUCCCGCAUGGGAAUAUUUGUUAAAGAUUCAUCGCUGAUAGAUAGGCAUGCGUUCCAUUAGGCAGUUGGCGGGGUAACGGCCCACCAAACCGACGAUGGAUAGGGGUUCUGAGAGGAAGGUCCCCCACAUUGGUACUGAGACACGGACCAA